AGUGAACGCUGGCGGUAGGCCUAACACAUGCAAGUCGAACGGCAGCACAGUAAGAGCUUGCUCUUACGGGUGGCGAGUGGCGGACGGGUGAGGAAUACAUCGGAAUCUACUUUUUCGUGGGGGAUAACGUAGGGAAACUUACGCUAAUACCGCAUACGACCUACGGGUGAAAGCAGGGGAUCUUCGGACCUUGCGCGAUUGAAUGAGCCGAUGUCGGAUUAGCUAGUUGGCGGGGUAAAGGCCCACCAAGGCGACGAUCCGUAGCUGGUCUGAGAGGAUGAUCAGCCACACGGGAAGUGAGAAAGGGUAGAGACUCCUACGGGAGGAAGCAGUGGGGAAUAUUGGACAAUGGGCGCAAGCCUGAUCCAGCCAUACCGCGUGGGUGAAGAAGGCCUUAGGGUUGUAAAGCCCUUUUGUUGGGAAAGAAAAGCAGCAGGUUAAUACCCCGCUGUUCUGACGGUACCCAAAGAAUAAGCACCGGCUAACUUCGUG
rnacentral:rRNA from 1 species